GCCGACGUGGCGGAAUUGGCAGACGCGCUAGACUCAAAAUCUGGUACUCGUGAGAGUGUGUGGGUUCGACCCCCUCCGUCGGCACCA
rnacentral:tRNA from 2 species